rnacentral:rRNA from 1 species
GAGUAACACGUAGGUAACUACCUCUAAGACGAGGAUAACGACUGGAAACGGUCGCUAAAACUGGAUAGGAUCAUUUGAGGCAUCUCGAAUGAUUUAAAGGGGCUUUCAAGCCACACUUAGAGAAAGGCCUGCGGCGCAUUAGCUAGGUUGGUGGGGUAGAGGCCUACCAAGGCGAUGAUGCGUAGCCGGACUGAGAGGUCGAACGGCCACAUUGGGACUGAGACACGGCCCAAACUCCUACGGGAGGCAGCAGUAGGGAAUUUUCGGCAAUGGGGGAAACCCUGACCGAGCAACGCCGCGUGAAUGAAGAACCGUAUUUCGGUAUGUAAAGUUCUUUUAUUAAGGAAGAAUAUCACGGAUAGGAAAUGAUCUGUGAGUGACGGUACUUAAUGAAUAAGCCCCGGCUAACUAUGUGCCAGCCGCAGC